rnacentral:rRNA from 1 species
GACGAACGCUGGCGGCGUGCUUAAUACAUGCAAGUCAACUGAACUUAAGAUAGCAAUAUUUUAAGGGAGGUGGCGCACGGGUGAGUAACACGUAGGUAAUCUGCCUUUAGGUCUGACACAACCCCGAGAAAUCGGGGCUAAUAUCAGAUGAUGCAGCGGCUCGACAUCGAGACAGUUGUUAAACCUUCGGGGCCUAAAGAUGAGCCUGCGUCUGAUUAGCUGGUUGGCGGGGUAACGGCCCACCAAGGCAACGAUCAGUAGCUGGUCUGAGAGGAUGAUCAGCCACACUGGAACUGAGACACGGUCCAGACUCCUACGGGAGGCAGCAGUAAGGAAUAUUGCUCAAUGGCCGAAAGGCUGAAGCAGCAACGCCGCGUGGAGGAUGAAAUACUUUGUAUGUAAACUCCUGUGAGAAGGGAAAAAUAUAGCAGAUUUUCUGCGUUGAUUGUACCUUCUAGAGGAAGCCCCGGCUAACUACGUGCCAGCAGCCGACGG